UGGGGAAUUUUCCGCAAUGGGCGAAAGCCUGACGGAGCGACGCCGCGUGCGGGAUGACGGCCUGUGGGUUGUAAACCGCUUUUCUCAGGGAAGAAGAUCUGACGGUACCUGAGGAAUCAGCAUCGGCUAACUCCGUGCCAGCAGCCGCGGUAAUACGGAGGAUGCAAGCGUUAUCCGGAAUUAUUGGGCGUAAAGCGUCCGCAGGCGGCUUGUCAAGUCUGCUGUUAAAUGUCGGGGCUCAACUCCGAUUCGGCAGUGGAAACUGACAGGCUAGAGUACGGUAGGGGUAGAGGGAAUUCCCAGUGUAGCGGUGAAAUGCGUAGAUAUUGGGAAGAACACCAGUGGCGAAGGCGCUCUACUGGGCCGUAACUGACGCUGAGGGACGAAAGCUAGGGGAGCGAAAGGGAUUAGAUACCCGCGUAGUCC
rnacentral:rRNA from 1 species